CUCGGACUUAGUGGCGGACGGGUGAGUAACGCGUGAGAAUUACCUCCGAGAUGGGGACAACCGUUGGAAACGACGGCUAAUCCCCAAUAAGCCGAAAGGUGAAAGGGUUUCCGCUCGCAGAGGAGCUCGCGUCCGAUUAGUUAGUUGGUGGGGUAAGAGCCUACCAAGGCAGCGAUCGGUAGCUGGUCUGAGAGGAUGAGCAGCCACACUGGGACUGAGACACGGCCCAGACUCCUACGGGAGGCAGCAGUGGGGAAUUUUCCGCAAUGGGCGCAAGCCUGACGGAGCAACGCCGCGUGUGGGAAGAAGGCUCUUGGGCUGUCAACCACUUUUCUCAGGGAAGAAGUCCUGACGGUACCUGAGGAAUCAGCCUCGGCUAAACUCCGUGCCAGCAGCCGCGGUAAUACGGAGGAGGCAAGCGUUAUCCGGAAUUAUUGGGCGUAAAGCGUCCGCAGGGGGCACUUCAAGUCUGCUGUCAAAGGUCGGAGCUUAACUCCGGUUCGGCAGUGGAAACUGGAGUGCUAGAGGGCGACAGGG
rnacentral:rRNA from 1 species